UCCGGGCUAGAAGCGACGCAU
rnacentral:sRNA from 1 species